AUCCUAUUCCCCUGCAUCUGCUUUCCACGCUAUGCAUGCUUCAACCUCUUGUUGCUGUCUCUGCUACCGCCCUGUGCCUGCUUGGAAAUGAUGUUGCACUUCAAGUUUACAGCUUUGUAUGUCAGGUUUUGGGUGAAAUUAACUCCUUUCCCCCCAAGUUUUUCUCUGUUUUGCAAGCUAUGCAAGGUGACACACAUAAGAUUGUGCUUGAAGAACAUCAAGAUUAACCUGGUAGACCUGGAAGGCAACCCACCAUUUGCAGCAAGGUGAUAUUGGGUACUGAGGUGUGUCAAGAGGUCUGUCUCAAUAUUCAGAGCUUUUGUGAAGAAUUUGCACUGGACUAAGUAUUACCGUGGACUGAAGGAAUGACCAGAUAGCCCUGUGACUGGCCAUAGUGUUCAGUUGGGCUUGUCAACCCACGCUG